CUUCUGACCUUGUAGGAGUGGUUAGGAUCUGGCGGCCGGAAGAUAUCGUGCUGUACGGAAAGAUAGGGCCCCUCCCCUGGUAGCCAAUAGCAUUUAGUUUGUG